ACAAUGGCUAAGAGGAACAGGAAUGCAGACACAGGAAGUAAAAUGAUCCACUGGUCAAAUUAUAUAGAUAACGUCCUAGUAAACUCGUUUUACGAUCAACAUUUGUGUGGUCGUAGAUCGGGUGGGGGCAUUCACAUCACACGCUAUUGAUUGUGUAGGUGAAGAAGUGAGGAAUGCAUUUCCAGAGCUUGACAUUGAUAAAGAGCAUAUACACAGCCGCAUAAAAAAUUUGAAAAGGCAAUUCUCAAAAUAUUAUGAUG
rnacentral:lncRNA from 1 species